GACACGGCCCAGACUCCUACGGGAGGCAGCAGUGGGGAAUUUUGGACAAUGGGGGCAACCCUGAUCCAGCCAUGCCGCGUGCAGGAUGAAGGUCUUCGGAUUGUAAACUGCUUUUGUCAGGGAAGAAAAGGUCUGUGUUAAUACCAUAGACUGCUGACGGUACCUGAAGAAUAAGCACCGGCUAACUACGUGCCAGCAGCCGCGGUAAUACGUAGGGUGCAAGCGUUAUCCGGAAUUAUUGGGCGUAAAGGGCUCGUAGGCGGUUCGUCGCGUCCGGUGUGAAAGUCCAUCGCUUAACGGUGGAUCCGCGCCGGGUACGGGCGGGCUUGAGUGCGGUAGGGGAGACUGGAAUUCCCGGUGUAACGGUGGAAUGUGUAGAUAUCGGGAAGAACACCAAUGGCGAAGGCAGGUCUCUGGGCCGUUACUGACGCUGAGGAGCGAAAGCGUGGGGAGCGAACAGGAUUAGAUACCCUGGUAGUCCACGCCGUAAACGGUGGAUGCUGGAUGUGGGGCCCGUUCCACGGGUUCCGUGUCGGAGCUAACGCGUUAAGCAUCCCGCCUGGGGAGUACGGCCGCAAGGCUAAAACUCAAAGAAAUUGACGGGGGCCCGCACAAGCGGCGGAGCAUGCGGAUUAAUUCGAUGCAACGCGAAGAACCUUACCUGGGCUUGACAUGUUCCCGACGGUCGUAGAGAUACGGCUUCCCUUCGGGGCGGGUUCACAGGUGGUGCAUGGUCGUCGUCAGCUCGUGUCGUGAGAUGUUGGGUUAAGUCCCGCAACGAGCGCAACCCU
rnacentral:rRNA from 1 species